GGAAGGGCCAUAGCUCAGUAGCAGAGCAUCUGCUUUGCAUGUAGAAAGUCCUGUGUUCAAUUCCUAGCAUUUCCA